AUCAGAAGCUUUAUAGACAAGUAAAAGCUAAAAGAGUUGAGUACCACCAAACCAGCUUUACAACAAAUGCUAAAGGAAAUUCUUUAGGUGGAAAAAGAAAAGGCCACAACUAAAAACAAGAUAAUUAUGAAACGAAAAAGCUCACCAGAAAAGGCAAACAUAUGGUAAAGACCUCUCUGCUGCUCUCUCCUCCAUGGCUUACAAGAGACAGAAAGAAUGAAGACAUGGCGCACGUGUUGGGACGGCCACACCUGACCCCCCACCCUCUUGGUGUGGAGGCAGGAGAGAAAAUCCAAAAUUCUUCAUUUUGGCUAGAACCAAAGUUCUUGACCCAGG